ensembl:lncRNA
GCAGCUUGCAAGUUGAAUUUAGAGCAAGUUGUUUAUGAAGUCAGCUGAUUUCAGGCCCCAGUAUUGUGUGUUACUAAUAAAUAAAAAAAUUAAUUGCAGUUUAAAAAAAUUAAUUGCAGUUUAAAUACAAUGAUUGGGGGAAAAUAGCUUUAUUGGACUUAAAAAUGUGUGAUUAAGAAAACGCUUUAAUAAACAGUAAUGGGUGGCAUCUUUUCUUCUAGCUUGAUCAGGAAUUUGAGAUUUUCCACGCAGAGAAAUAUGGAACCUGCUAACAUUUUCUUGAUCUCCUGGGGUGGAUUAUGCAUUCUAAAGGGGAAGGAGAAGAGGGAGAGCAAGAACUGCCUCAGGAACAUGUGCCCUCUAAACUCUCCACAUCUUUGCACCUAUACUGCAUCAUCAGCAAUGGUUGGUGUGAGAAUGCCGUUUGCUCAGCAAAUUGCUUGUGGCUGGGAUUCUGACUGUGAAGAAGCAAUGGUGAGACAUUACUACUUUGGUUUAAUGUAGAGGUGAAGCCAUGUGUGUGCUUUUGUGUGACUUCAUAGAGAUGUCACCCUGGAAUCAACAGCUUUCUCACUCGCUGCUGUUCCUUUCCCUGUUUUCAGGACUCAUGCUGCUGUUUCUUAUUUGUUUGAGAAGCAUUAGCAAAAGCUAAUGUACCACUCUCACAAGAGACCAAAAAACUCUGGAAGAGUUAUUGUUGCCUGCUGCUGGCUUUGGCAAAUCCCUUACUGCAAUAUUUGUUUUUGAUGGAGGAUGUUGCUCUUCUGUCAUCUCUCACAGAGUAACUACCAGGAUGUUUUCCCUUUAGCACUUUCCGUGUAGCUGACCCCUACAGCCAGCCAUGGUCCUGGACCUGACCUCACCUCAGGGCAGAGAUCAGAGCAGUUAAUGUCAGGAAAGGAAAUACUCCUUGGGAGCUGCUCACUAGGAAGCUUGGGACACUUGCACUCUGCAUGCAUGUCACUUAAAUUGACAGAACAUGCAAGCAGCCAGAAAUGCACUGAGAAAGCACCAAGGAGUAAGGGUUACGAGCACUUGGGGUUGGUAAGUAAAGCUUGCUUGCUCCAAUACUACCAAAAUUUUUAAAUAGAAAGGGGAAAGCAAUUGUCUGUGAAUUGCCUUAAAAGUGGUAUCACCUCUGAUAUUGAGAUCCAGGCCUAAUAUUCUGUUUCAGUUUCCUUCCCUGUGCUCCGAGAUUAGAUAUUGAAUGUAUUUGGGGAAUACCUUGCUAUGUCCGUAGAUACCUUUGGAUAAAAGCUUGUCAUUUAAAUGUAUUCUCUACUAUAGCUUAAAGAAAGAUUUAUGGAAGAACCUCCCAUAGCUGCCAAUGUGGUGUUUUGUAGUAAAGGCAUGUUGCAACUACGCUAUCGUGUUGAGUAAUGAUACUAUCUAAUACUAUCUAAAUACUAUCUAAUACUAUCUAAUACUAUCUAAAUUGAGUAAUGAUACUCUCUAAUGAUACUAAAUAAUUCAGCAAGACCCUUUUCCUGCUACUGCUCCAUUCACCUGACCCUGUUUUUCUUCAUCUGUGUUUCUGCUUUAUUCUAUGUUUACAUUUGCCAUUUAUGCAUUAAAUACAUUACAGAACAAACCUAAUCUAUCAUUUAAUAGACCUACACUUUAUAAAGAAUAGAUAUUUUCUGCCUUUCUAGAUUCUCUCAGGCAUAGAAAUCUGUGCCUUGUUUUGAGUUAGCUUUUGUUCACAUAACAGAACACUUUGGCUAAGCUUUCUGAAGCCUAUAGAUCUCACUAAAAUAAUGUACAUUUCUUGAUCUGAUUAGGCCUUCAGCACACAAGAUAGUCGCUACAGAAUUAAUGGGAAAGAAGUUUGCUUAUUGAGCAGUGAGAAUAAAAAUAAAUAUUAUUCCUUUCUCUAGUUUACA